UACGGGGGGAGCAAGCGUUGUUCGGAUUUACUGGGCGUAAAGGGCGCGUAGGCGGCGUGACAAGUCACUUGUGAAAUCUCCGGGCUUAACUCGGAACGGUCAAGUGAUACUGUCGUGCUAGAGUACAGAAGGGGCAACUGGAAUUCUCGGUGUAGCGGUGAAAUGCGUAGAUAUUGGGAGGAACACCGGUGGCGAAGGCGGGUCUCUGGGCCGAAAUUGACGCUGAGGAGCGAAAGCGUGGGGAGCAAACAGG
rnacentral:rRNA from 1 species